rnacentral:rRNA from 1 species
UGCCAGCAGCCGCGGUAAUACGGAGGGGGCUAGCGUUGUUCGGAAUCACUGGGUUUAAAGGGUGCGUAGGCGGCGCUAUAAGUCAGAGGUGAAAGGCCACAGCUUAACUGUGGGACUGCCUUUGAUACUGUAGUGCUUGAAUUAGGUUGAGGUCGGCGGAAUGUGACAUGUAGCGGUGAAAUGCUUAGAUAUGUCAUAGAACACCAAUUGCGAAGGCAGCUGACUAGACCUUAAUUGACGCUGAGGCACGAAAGCGUGGGGAGCGAACAGGAUUAGAUA